rnacentral:lncRNA from 1 species
GUUUAUAAUAUUUAAAUAAUUUUUUAUAUUUUUUAUUAAAAAUAUUUAGAUUUUUAGCAUUCAAUUUAAGUUGGGUGCGUGGUUAUAAAAAGUGUUAGUAAAAAAUAAAAUUAUUAUAGAUUUUUAGUUGUUAGGAAUACUAAAUUAUCAUGAAUUAAUUUAGAGCAUGUUUAGUUAGCCCCUUUUUCGUCCUAAAAUCGGAAUCAGAAUCGGAAUGGACGAAUCCGUUUGUUCGUAUUUGGUAAGCGAGAUUUUCAUUGCGAGUCCGAUUCCCGAGUGAAUGGGAAUCCCUAGCCCCAAUUACCUCUUUUUCCAAUCUAACAUGAAUACGAACAGAAUGAAUUUGUUCGAAUUAAAUUUAACUAUUUUAAGUUCAUUUUUAAAUUAAAACAUAAGUUUAAGUUUAAUAAAAAUAUAGUAGUUCUUAUUUCUAUACUUAAUAAAAAUUUCUAAUAGUCUAUUAAUAAGAAUAUAGUAAUUCUUAACAACCUUCCAACCAACCAACUUGCCAUUUCAAAUAUAAAUUAUAUAAUAUUCUCAAAAUAUUAUGAACCUUGAACAAAACGGCCCCUUUUAGUUCUUAAACUGUAGUGUGUAUGACAUUUUGCUUCUUGAAUUUUAAUUCAAAGAUUCUAAAGUAUUGCUAAUGUGGAAGUGAUGUAGCAGUGCUGUGACUGAUGACAUGAUAAUAAUUAAGAUACU